GGUCAUUGGAACAAGUAGAACAUUUAUUGUUGCAAGAUCAACAUUCUAGCCAAGUGGGAAAUUGAAGAAAAAGGAUUUUGGCGGAUUUGGAACGUGAAUUUGGAGUCGCAUAAGAAGCAGAAAAGGUACACCAGAUGAGCCACAGCUAUCAUAGAAGAUGUUCCAGCGGAGUUGGCAGGCUCCACUUGUUCUGGAGUGCUGCCGAGUCAGAGUGUCUGAGCCAUGAUGUUUGUUUGAUGUUAGAGACUUUGCAGACAGAGUCGUGGGUAUAGAGUGUCGAUAAUAUGUUGUAUCAUAAAGUCCAUGUGAUUGCAGAUUCUGUUUGACUUGAGUACG